rnacentral:rRNA from 1 species
CUUCAUUGAUCCUGCCAGUAGUCAUAUGCUUGUCUGAAAGAUUAAGCCAUGCAUGUGUAAGUAUGAACUAAUUCAGACUGUGAAAUUGUGAAUGGCUCAUUAAAUUAGUUAUAUUUAGUUUAAUGGUAUCUACUACUUGGAUAACGAUAGUAAUUUUAGAGCUAGUACAUGCAACAAACCCUAACUUUUGGAAGGGAUGCAUUUAUUAGAUAAAAGAUCGAUGUAGGCUUUGCCCAUUGUACUAAUGAUUCAUGAUAACUUGACGGAUCAUAUGGCAUUUGCACUAGUGACGCAUCAUUCAAAUUUCUACCCUAUUAACUUUUAAUGGUAGGAUAAUGGCCUACUAUGGUGGUGAUGAGUGAUGGAGAAUUAGGGUUCAAUUCUAGAGAGGGAGCUGGAGAAAUGGCUACCACAUGCAAGAAGGUAGCUAGCAUACUAAUUACCCAAUCCAGACAUGGGGAGGUAGUAACAAUAAAUAACAAUACCAGGCUCUAUGAGCUUGGUAACUAGAAUGAGUACAAUCUAAAUCCCUUAACAACAAACCAUUAAAGGGCAAGUCUGGUGCCAACAGUCACGGUAAUUCUAGCUCCAAUAGCAUAUAUUUAAGUUAUUGUAGUUAAAAAGCUCAUAGUUGGAACUAGAGUUGGGUCAUCUAGUCCACCUCGCAGUGAGCAUUGCUCUACUUGUCCUUACUAUCAGCAAUGCACUCCUGGCAUUAAUUGGUUGGGUCAUUCAUCUGGUACUAUUACUUUGAAGAAAUUAAAGUGCUUAAAGUAGGCCUACACUUGUAUACAUUAGUAAGGGAUAACAUCAUAGGAUUUUGGUCCUAUUGUGUUGGCCUUUGGGAUCGAAGUAAUGAUUAAUAAGGAUAGUUAAGGCAUUUGUAUUUCAUAGUCAGAGGUGAAAUUCUUGGCUUUAUGAAAGAUGAACAACUAUGAAAGAUUUUCCAAGGAUGUUUUCAUUAAUCAAGAAUAAAAAAUAGGGGCUCGAAGAUGAUUAGAUAUUAUCCUAGUCUCAACCAGAAAUGAUGUUGACCAGAGAUCGAUAGAUGUUACUUUUAGGACUCUACCAACACUUUAUGAGAAAUCAAAGUCUUUGGGAUUUAUGGGGAGUAUGAUCGCAAGGCUAAAACUUAAAAGAAUUGAUGGAAGGGUACUACCAGAAAUGGAGCCUAUGGCUUAAUUUGACUCAACAUGGGGAAACCUACCAGGUCCAAACAUAGUAAGAAUUGAUAGACUGAAAGCUCUUUCUUGAUUCUAUGGUUGGUGGUGGAUGGCUGUUCUUAGGUGAUGGAGCAAUUUGUCUAGUUAAUUCUGUUAACAAGCGAGACCUCAGCCUACUAACUAGCUACGAUAAGGUGAUCCUCAUGGCUAGCUUCUUAGAGGGACUGCGGUCACUUAGACCAAGAAAGUUUAAGGUAAUAAUAGGUAUGUGAUGCAUUUAGAUGGUUUGGGCUACAUGCACACUACAUUGAUGUAUUCAAUUAGUCUUUAGCCUUGGCUGACAAGCUUGAGUAAUCUUUGAAAUUUCAUUGUGAUGGGGAUAGAUCAUUGCUAUUAUUGGUCAUCAAUAAGGAAUUCCAAAUAAGCGUAAGUCAUCAGCUCACGUUGACUACAUCCUACCCUUUGCACACACUGCUUGUCACUCCUACUAAUUGAAUGGUCCGGUGAACUGUUUUAAUCCUAGUGAUGUGGAUGGUUUGCUACCGAUGACAUCAUGAGAAGUUCACUGAACCUUAUCAUUUAGAGGAAGAAGAAGUCAUAACAAGGUUACCAUGGUGAACUUGUAGAAA